rnacentral:rRNA from 1 species
GAUGAACGCUAGCGGCAGGCUUAACACAUGCAAGUCGAGGGGCAGCAUAAUGGAUAGCAAUAUCUAUGGUGGCGACCGGCGCACGGGUGCGUAACGCGUAUGCAACCUACCUUUAACAGGGGGAUAACACUGAGAAAUUGGUACUAAUACCCCAUAAUAUCAUAGAAGGCAUCUUUUAUGGUUGAAAAUUCCGAUGGUUAGAGAUGGGCAUGCGUUGUAUAAGCUAGUUGGUGGGGUAACGGCUCACCAAGGCAACGAUACAUAGGGGGACUGAGAGGUUAACCCCCCACACUGGUACUGAGACACGGACCAGACUCCUACGGGAGGCAGCAGUGAGGAAUAUUGGUCAAUGGGCGCAAGUCUGAACCAGCCAUGCCGCGUGCAGGAUGACGGCUCUAUGAGUUGUAAACUGCUUUUGUACGAGGGUAAACGCAGAUACGUGUAUCUGUCUGAAAGUAUCGUACGAAUAAGGAUCGGCCAACUCCGUGCCAGCAGCCGCGGUAAUACGGAGGAUUCAAGCGUUAUCCGGAUUUAUUGGGUUUAAAGGGUGCGUAGGCGGUUUGAUAAGUUAGAGGUGAAAUUUCGGGGCUCAACCCUGAACGUGCCUCUAAUACUGUUGAGCUAGAGAGUAGUUGCGGUAGGCGGAAUGUAUGGUGUAGCGGUGAAAUGCUUAGAGAUCAUACAGAACACCGAUUGCGAAGGCAGCUUACCAAACUAUAUCUGACGUUGAGGCACGAAAGCGUGGGGAGCAAACAGGAUUAGAUACCCUGGUAGUCCACGCAAUAA